ACUGGGUUGAUAGGCCGGAUGUGGAAGCGUAGUAAUACGUGAAGCUGACCGGUACUAAUAAGCCGAUGACUUGAUAACA
rnacentral:rRNA from 1 species